rnacentral:rRNA from 1 species
UUAAGCGACUAAGCGUACACGGUGGAUGCCCUGGCAGUCAGAGGCGAUGAAGGACGUGCUAAUCUGCGAAAAGCGUCGGUAAGGUGAUAUGAACCGUUAUAGCCGGCGAUGUCCGAAUGGGGAAACCCAGUGCAAUUCGUUGCACUAUCGUUAACUGAAUACAUAGGUUAACGAGGCGAACCGGGGGAACUGAAACAUCUAAGUACCCCGAGGAAAAGAAAUCAACCGAGAUUCCCCCAGUAGCGGCGAGCGAACGGGGAGCAGCCCAGAGUCUGAAUCAGCUUGUGUGUUAGUGGAACGGUCUGGAAAGUCCGACGGUACAGGGUGAUAGUCCCGUACACCAAAAUGCACAGGCUGUGAACUCGAAGAGUAGGGCGGGACACGUGGUAUCCUGUCUGAAUAUGGGGGGACCAUCCUCCAAGGCUAAAUACUCCUGACUGACCGAUAGUGAACCAGUACCGUGAGGGAAAGGCGAAAAGAACCCCGGCGAGGGGAGUGAAAAAGAACCUGAAACCGUGUACGUACAAGCAGUGGGAGCACCUUCGGGUGUGACUGCGUACCUUUUGUAUAAUGGGUCAGCGACUUAUAUUCUGUAGCAAGGUUAACCGUAUAGGGGAGCCGCAGGGAAACCGAGUCUUAACUGGGCGUUAAGUUGCAGGGUAUAGACCCGAAACCCGGUGAUCUAGCCAUGGGCAGGUUGAAGGUUGGGUAACACUAACUGGAGGACCGAACCGACUAAUGUUGAAAAAUUAGCGGAUGACUUGUGGCUGGGGGUGAAAGGCCAAUCAAACCGGGAGAUAGCUGGUUCUCCCCGAAAGCUAUUUAGGUAGCGCCUCGUGAAUUCAUCUUCGGGGGUAGAGCACUGUUUCGGCUAGGGGGUCAUCCCGACUUACCAACCCGAUGCAAACUACGAAUACCGAAGAAUGUUAUCACGGGAGACACACGGCGGGUGCUAACGUCCGUCGUGAAGAGGGAAACAACCCAGACCGCCAGCUAAGGUCCCAAAGUCAUGGUUAAGUGGGAAACGAUGUGGGAAGGCACAGACAGCCAGGAUGUUGGCUUAGAAGCAGCCAUCAUUUAAAGAAAGCGUAAUAGCUCACUGGUCGAGUCGGCCUGCGCGGAAGAUGUAACGGGGCUAAACCAUGCACCGAAGCUGCGGCAGCGACACUAUGUGUUGUUGGGUAGGGGAGCGUUCUGUAAGCCUGCGAAGGUGUGCUGUGAGGCAUGCUGGAGGUAUCAGAAGUGCGAAUGCUGACAUAAGUAACGAUAAAGCGGGUGAAAAGCCCGCUCGCCGGAAGACCAAGGGUUCCUGUCCAACGUUAAUCGGGGCAGGGUGAGUCGACCCCUAAGGCGAGGCCGAAAGGCGUAGUCGAUGGGAAACAGGUUAAUAUUCCUGUACUUGGUGUUACUGCGAAGGGGGGACGGAGAAGGCUAUGUUAGCCGGGCGACGGUUGUCCCGGUUUAAGCAUGUAGGCUGGUUAUCCAGGCAAAUCCGGAUAAUCAAGGCUGAGGUGUGAUGACGAGGCACUACGGUGCUGAAGUAACAAAUGCCCUGCUUCCAGGAAAAGCCUCUAAGCAUCAGGUAACAUCAAAUCGUACCCCAAACCGACACAGGUGGUCAGGUAGAGAAUACCAAGGCGCUUGAGAGAACUCGGGUGAAGGAACUAGGCAAAAUGGUGCCGUAACUUCGGGAGAAGGCACGCUGGUGUGUAGGUGAAGCCCCUGCGGGUGGAGCUGAGACCAGUCGAAGAUACCAGCUGGCUGCAACUGUUUAUUAAAAACACAGCACUGUGCAAACACGAAAGUGGACGUAUACGGUGUGACGCCUGCCCGGUGCCGGAAGGUUAAUUGAUGGGGUUAUCCGUAAGGAGAAGCUCUUGAUCGAAGCCCCGGUAAACGGCGGCCGUAACUAUAACGGUCCUAAGGUAGCGAAAUUCCUUGUCGGGUAAGUUCCGACCUGCACGAAUGGCGUAAUGAUGGCCAGGCUGUCUCCACCCGAGACUCAGUGAAAUUGAACUCGCUGUGAAGAUGCAGUGUACCCGCGGCAAGACGGAAAGACCCCGUGAACCUUUACUAUAGCUUGACACUGAACAUUGAGCCUUGAUGUGUAGGAUAGGUGGGAGGCUUUGAAGCGUGGACGCCAGUCUGCGUGGAGCCAACCUUGAAAUACCACCCUUUAAUGUUUGAUGUUCUAACGUUGGCCCCUUAUCGGGGUUGCGGACAGUGUCUGGUGGGUAGUUUGACUGGGGCGGUCUCCUCCCAAAGCGUAACGGAGGAGCACGAAGGUUAGCUAAUCCUGGUCGGACAUCAGGAGGUUAGUGCAAUGGCAUAAGCUAGCUUGACUGCGAGCGUGACGGCGCGAGCAGGUGCGAAAGCAGGUCAUAGUGAUCCGGUGGUUCUGAAUGGAAGGGCCAUCGCUCAACGGAUAAAAGGUACUCCGGGGAUAACAGGCUGAUACCGCCCAAGAGUUCAUAUCGACGGCGGUGUUUGGCACCUCGAUGUCGGCUCAUCACAUCCUGGGGCUGAAGUAGGUCCCAAGGGUAUGGCUGUUCGCCAUUUAAAGUGGUACGCGAGCUGGGUUUAGAACGUCGUGAGACAGUUCGGUCCCUAUCUGCCGUGGGCGCUGGAGAAUUGAGGGGGGCUGCUCCUAGUACGAGAGGACCGGAGUGGACGCAUCACUGGUGUUCGGGUUGUCAUGCCAAUGGCACUGCCCGGUAGCUAAAUGCGGAAGAGAUAAGUGCUGAAAGCAUCUAAGCACGAAACUUGCCCCGAGAUGAGUUCUCCCUGAGACUUUAAGUCUCCUGAAGGAACGUUGAAGACGACGACGUUGAUAGGCCGGGUGUGUAAGCGCAGCGAUGCGUUGAGCUAACCGGUACUAAUGAACCGUGAGGCUUAACCUU